AGUGGUAUAGCUGGGUCAAGUGGUGGUUCCAUUACAUGUUUUCUGAGGAAUCUCCAUACUGCUUUCCAUAGUGGUUGCACCAGUUUGCAGUCCCACUUGCAAU
rnacentral:pre_miRNA from 1 species